GGUCAGGGUUCAAGUCGGGGGGCAGUAGGGGUCAAAGAGCAGGGAGGAUGGGAUUGAUUUUCUUCAGUGUCUUUCUGUCCUUCAAAUGUGUUUGAAGUGGUUUUUGUGUGCUAUUGAUGUUUUUACACAACUGUUUUUGUUAAUCUUUUCAGCAUAUUUUCCUUGUUUUUAGGAAAAUUAUAUUUUCUGUAAUUGGCAUCAGAACUUGUUUUAUUUGUUUAUUUAUUGAUCUCGUCAGGUCAACCCCAUUAGAUGAGACACUUUAUUUUCAAGAUCUGAUCUCUUUCCUGUUAGCUCAAUGCGUGGGUGUGAUAUGUCCUUUAGCAUGAGUUACACAGCACUGUAUACUGAUUGGUGUCUUAGAUAAUGUUAUUGCUUGAUCAAACCCCUUCUAUUGGAAUUUGAUCACAUUCAUAAUUAAUUUCAUCAUUAUACAGCCCUAGUUUUGACGCUUGGCCGCCCUCCUCAAGUCUAGAAUAACAAACACAUGACUGUAACUGGGUUCAUUUCUGGGAUUAUGUAUGGGCCAGACUAUGGAGAAACAAUCAUCAAUAAUCUGCUAUGGCGAUAGGCCUAUCUCUAUGUUCAGAGGCAGACCCUCUAUGAGCCCCCUCAUGAUUCUGGGGGGCUGGUGGGGUGUUAUUGCACUGGUGUUUGGGUGAAUACGUGUGUGCUGUAUUGUCAUGUGUUAUGGGUCAGUGAUUUUGUGUUGCUUUGUGUGUGGGAUCAGGCAUUGUGACGUUUCUAAUCCCAGUCACACCGAGGGGCUUGUGCUCUGUGUCCCAGCCGUUGCUAUAACGACAUUGUCAAAUAGUCCCUGUGUCUUGCCACCUCCAUCUCCUUGCUCUAAGACUACAGGCUCCAAAACUGGAAUUAUGGAAGUUGAAAUUGACAUUUCUGCUGGCAUAACAUUUUUGAGAUUUUAUUAAAUAAAAAAAUACAUUUAUUUCUGUCUGUCUGUCUCUCCAUGUCUUGUAGGUUUUGUCUUUUAACCUGUAUCCUGUAUUGAUGAGAUUUAUGUUUAAUCUCAUAACCUGUAUCCUGUAUUGAUGAGAUUUAUGUUUAAUCUCAUAACCUGUAUCCUGUAUUGAUGAGAUUUAUGUUUAAUCUCAUAACCUGUACUCUGUGUUGAUGAGAUGUAGGUUUUGUCUCAUAACCUGUACUCUGUGUUGAUGAGUUGUAGGUUUUGUCUCAUAACCUGUACUCUGUGUUGAUGAGUUGUAGGUGUUGUCUCAUAACCUGUACUCUGUGUUGAUGAGUUGUAGGUUUUGUCUCAUAACCUGUACUCUGUGUUGAUGAGUUGUAGGUGUUGUCUCAUAACCUAUACUCUGUGUUGAUGAGGUAGGUGUUGUCUCAUAACCUAAACUCUGUGUUGAUGAGGUAGGUGUUGUCUCAUAACCUGUACUCUGUGUUGAUGAGGUAGGUGUUGUCUCAUAACCUGUACUCUGUGUUGAUGAGU